UACGUAGGGGGCAAGCGUUGUCCGGAAUCAUUGGGCGUAAAGCGCGUGUAGGCGGUCCGGUAAGUCCGCUGUGAAAGUCGGGGCUUAACCCGGUCGGCCGUGCGAACUGUCGAGCUGGAGCACUGUAGAGGCAGGUGGAAUUCCGGGUGUAGCGGUGGAAUGCGUAGAGAUCCGGAAGAACACCGGUGGCGAAGGCGGCCUGCUGGCAGUGGCUGACGCUGAGGCGCGACAGCGUGGGAGCAACAGG
rnacentral:rRNA from 1 species